rnacentral:rRNA from 1 species
UACGUAGGUGACAAGCGUUAUCCGGAAUUACUGGGCGUAAAGCGCACGCAGGCGGCGCGGUAAGUCUGAUGUGAAAUCUCCCGGCUUAACUGGGAGGGGUCAUUGGAAACUGCCGAGCUUGAGGCGAUGAGAGGGGUGUAGAAUUCCCGGUGUAGUGGUGGAAUGCGCAGAUAUCAGGAGGAACACCGAUUGCGAAGGCAGCUCGCUGGGACGUUACUGACGCUGAGACGCGAAAGCGUGGGGAGCAAACAGG